rnacentral:lncRNA from 1 species
AUGAUUAGAAGUGGGUCUCUACUCAUCAGUGAAAUAGGGGCCGAAUUGCUGUUUUGCCUUUGGGACAACUGCUUUGAAGUUCUGCUCAUACUCUAUCUGACUUGUUCCACGUCCAGAACGCUGAGGUUCUACUUGUCUCUGACCCUGCACUGGCCAUCCCCUGUGGUUCUUUCAUCAGCACCUUCUAGAGGCCCUCAAUGUAGCAUCGCCUUCUAUUCUGAGAACAGGGAUCCUCUUGUAUUGCAAAGGCUUUGGUAUGCACCCCCCCAAAAAGAAGAUGCCCAUUACUUUUUCAGCACCUGGGAAGAAAUCAAGCACCAAAAAGAUGGUUCCUGCUUUCAUGGCUGGGAAUGGAAUCAGAAACUCACCUCUCCUGCAGUAAACCAAGCUUCAAUAAAGGGGUGCCUCUGUGACCUGAGAUAUUCUUGGUGUUGCCGAUGAGGGAAAGAAGAGACAUUCAAUCAAGAGCUAUUUUUUUUACAAAAGUUAACCUUUUAUUCCCCCUCAGCCAUACUGUCUCGACCUUUCUGAUUAAAUGGCUGCAAAUAAAUACACAACAUCCUUUGUGAUUUUGAUGGUGUUCUCAGUAAGUCGAUUAAUUAGGAAAACGCGUACGAGAAGGAAGCCUCUAUGACAUCAGCAGUACAGGACUGCCCUGGUGGUCCAGUGGCUAAGACUUUGAACUCCCAACACAGGGGGCCCGUGUUCAAUCCCUGGUCAGGGAACUAGACCCCACGUGCUGCAAUUAAAACAUCCUGCACUCUGCAACCAAAGAACCCAUGUGCCGCAACGAGGACCCGGCAAAGUCAAAUAAACCAAUAAAUAACGAACAUUUUUUAAGAAGUCAGCAAUACAGUGGAGUGAGCUGGUCUCAUCACAGAACCUGCAGGCAUGCAUUAAUAAAACCCCUACUGCACGCAUAGGCAAGGCAUCGUGCUCUGAACUACAGAUCAGGUGGAAGGGACUUGGAGACAGACCCCUUGCAAUGAUCUGGCUAGGAAGUGCUAGGGCAGGAUUCCUGUGUUGACAUGUAUAAACCUUUUGAUGUCUGCAUACUUAUCUGUUUUUCUCUUUCUUUAGCUGCUAGGAACUACAGAACCCAAUUAGCACACAUGCCCCCCCCACAACUUGG